rnacentral:tRNA from 2 species
AAUAAGAUGCCUGAUAAUAUAAGGACUAUUUUGAUAGAAUAGAUUAAGUAUGACAUUUAAUCAUACUCUUAUUA